GCACUGCAGAUGAGUCUCAAACAGGACGAAACAGUUGUCCAGUGC
rnacentral:hammerhead_ribozyme from 1 species